rnacentral:rRNA from 1 species
UACAGAGGUCUCAAGCGUUGUUCGGAUUCAUUGGGCGUAAAGGGUGCGUAGGCGGCGCGGUAAGUCGGGUGUGAAAUCUCGGGGCUUAACUCCGAAACUGCAUUCGAUACUGCCGUGCUUGAGGACUGGAGAGGAGACUGGAAUUUACGGUGUAGCGGUGAAAUGCGUAGAUAUCGUAAGGAAGACCAGUGGCGAAGGCGACAUACUGGUCCGUUACUGACGCUGAGGCUCGAAAGCGUGGGGAGCAAACAGG